UACGUAGGGUGCAAGCGUUAAUCGGAAUUACUGGGCGUAAAGCGUGCGCAGGCGGCUGGUCAAGUCCGAUGUGAAAUCUCCCGGCUCAACUGGGAAACUGCAUCGGAAACUGAUCGGCUUGAAGGUGGGAGAGGGUAGUGGAAUUCCCGGUGUAGUGGUGAAAUGCGUAGAUAUCGGGAGGAACACCAGUGGCGAAGGCGGCUCACUGGCUCAUACUGGACGCUGAGGCACGAAAGCGUGGGGAGCAAACAGG
rnacentral:rRNA from 1 species